ACGAGGAGAUACAUUUGUACAAGUACGUCGUCGACACAUAACCUUCGUUUACUUCUCUCUCCCUGACCCAAUCGCUAACUCACUGACGAAACCUCGCUGUUUAUAGGCGGAAUCUACUCUUUGUUGUUACAGUAGCUCGAUCCAUGGAAUCCUAAAUAGUAAGAACGUUCCUCAUCAUAUCCAUGAGACCGUUACCGUCUUCGAAUUAUGCUUCUAUUUGGAUCAUUGGAAGAAUAAUAAUCUUACCAAUUUUGCCUUUGAUAUUAUGGUUAAUAGUUUUUUAUUAGCUCUAUAAAUUUGGUUGAGACAUGUUGUUUUUCUUGAAUUCACAAAUGAUUUUUGAUUAUAUAAAAUGAUAGUUGUUGGAUUUUCAAAAAUUAUCGAUCAUCUGUUCUUACAUUUUUUUGCAGUUACUAUCUGUUCAAGCUUUUACUUAUUGGUGAUUCUGAUGUUGACAAAUCAUGCCUGCUUCUAAGGUUUUCUCACCAUUGGUGUUGACUUCUUAAGCCUCUUUCCACUCAUCAAUUGGUUAUGGGUAAAUCAUUAGAAUUUUUAUUUUUUUUUAAUGAUCUUUUGCAGAAAAUCCACACUGUCGAAUAAGAUGGAAAAACUAUCAAGUCAUGUGAGAUCACUCAGUUUGAAUUUUAUACGCUCACUCUGUUUAGUAUUAUCGCAGUGGGACACAGCAGGUUAAUACAGUUUCAGAACGAUCACCAUUAGUUACUACAGAGGAGCUCAUGGAAUCAUUGUAUUAUGCUCAUUGUCACACGAACGUUUAUGUUUUUUUUUUCAAUUAUUGUCAAGUGACUUAUGAUGUAACAGACCAAGAAAGCUUCAACAAUGUCAAGCAAUGGCUGAACGAAAUCAACUGCUACGCCAGUGAGAAUGUGAACAAGCUACAGGGAACAAGUGUGAUCUCACGUCACAGAAAGUUGUAUCCCUGAAACUGCCAAGGCUUCGCAGAUGAACUUGGGAUCCCGUUCUUGGAGACACGUGCCAAGAAUACUACCAUUGUCGAAGAAGCUUUAAUUACCAAGUUAGAGCUUGAUUGAUGCAUAAAAGAUGAAAAAUAUAAGAAAAGGGUGAACUUUAUAGAAGUUUCAUAUGAAAUGAAUACAACAAGAUCAAAAUUAGUUGCACAGAA